GAUGAACGCUGGCGGCGUGCCUAAUACAUGCAAGUCGAGCGAACGGACGAGAAGCUUGCUUUUCUGAUGUUAGCGGCGGACGGGUGAGUAACACGUGGAUAACCUACCUAUAAGACUGGGAUAACUUCGGGAAACCGGAGCUAAUACCGGAUAAUAUUUUGAACCGCAUGGUUCAAAAGUGAAAGACGGUCUUGCUGUCACUUAUAGAUGGAUCCGCGCUGCAUUAGCUAGUUGGUAAGGUAACGGCUUACCAAGGCAACGAUGCAUAGCCGACCUGAGAGGGUGAUCGGCCACACUGGAACUGAGACACGGUCCAGACUCCUACGGGAGGCAGCAGUAGGGAAUCUUCCGCAAUGGGCGAAAGCCUGACGGAGCAACGCCGCGUGAGUGAUGAAGGUCUUCGGAUCGUAAAACUCUGUUAUUAGGGAAGAACAUAUGUGUAAGUAACUGUGCACAUCUUGACGGUACCUAAUCAGAAAGCCACGGCUAACUACGUGCCAGCAGCCGCGGUAAUACGUAGGUGGCAAGCGUUAUCCGGAAUUAUUGGGCGUAAAGCGCGCGUAGGCGGUUUUUUAAGUCUGAUGUGAAAGCCCACGGCUCAACCGUGGAGGGUCAUUGGAAACCGGAAAACUUGAGUGCAGAAGAGGAAAGUGGAAUUCCAUGUGUAGCGGUGAAAUGCGCAGAGAUGUGGAGGAACACCAGUGGCGAAGGCGACUUUCUGGUCUGUAACUGACGCUGAUGUGCGAAAGCGUGGGGAUCAAACAGGAUUAGAUACCCUGGUAGUCCACGCCGUAAACGAUGAGUGCUAAGUGUUAGGGGGUUUCCGCCCCUUAGUGCUGCAGCUAACGCAUUAAGCACUCCGCCUGGGGAGUACGACCGCAAGGUUGAAACUCAAAGGAAUUGACGGGGGCCCGCACAAGCGGUGGAGCAUGUGGUUUAAUUCGAAGCAACGCGAAGAACCUUACCAAAUCUUGACAUCCUUUGACAACUCUAGAGAUAGAGCCUUCCCCUUCAGGGGACAAAGUGACAGGUGGUGCAUGGUUGUCGUCAGCUCGUGUCGUGAGAUGUUGGGUUAAGUCCCGCAACGAGCGCAACCCUUAAGCUUAGUUGCCAUCAUUAAGUUGGGCACUCUAAGUUGACUGCCGGUGACAAACCGGAGGAAGGUGGGGAUGACGUCAAAUCAUCAUGCCCCUUAUGAUUUGGGCUACACACGUGCUACAAUGGACAAUACAAAGGGCAGCGAAACCGCGAGGUCAAGCAAAUCCCAUAAAGUUGUUCUCAGUUCGGAUUGUAGUCUGCAACUCGACUACAUGAAGCUGGAAUCGCUAGUAAUCGUAGAUCAGCAUGCUACGGUGAAUACGUUCCCGGGUCU
rnacentral:rRNA from 1 species